rnacentral:tRNA from 1 species
ACCCUGCUCGGCGAGGCCGUCGUCCCGGCCCUGAUCCGGCGGUUCCGCGACCGGUUCCCGGGCGUGCGGUUCGAGCUCGCGCAGGGCUC